rnacentral:rRNA from 1 species
CCUACGGGAGGCAGCAGUAGGGAAUCUUCCACAAUGGGCGAAAGCCUGAUGGAGCAACGCCGCGUGGGUGAAGAAGGUCUUCGGAUCGUAAAACCCUGUUGUUAGAGAAGAAAGUGCGUGAGAGUAACUGUUCACGUUUCGACGGUAUCUAACCAGAAAGCCACGGCUAAUUACGUGCCAGCAGCCGCGGUAAUACGUAGGUGGCAAGCGUUAGCCGGAUUUAUUGGGCGUAAAGGGAACGCAGGCGGUCUGUUAAGUCUGAUGUGAAAGCCUUCGGCUUAACCGGGGUAGUGCAUUGGAAACUGGGAGACGUGAGUGCAGAAGAGGAGGGUGGAACUCCAUGUGUAGCGGUGAAAUGCGUAGAUAUAAGGAAGAACACCAGUGGCGAAGGCGGCUCUCUGGUCUGUAACUGACGCUGAGGUUCGAAAGCGUGGGUAGCAAACAGGAUUAGAUACCCGUGUAGUC